rnacentral:pre_miRNA from 1 species
GCUGCCAAAUGGAUCGGGUUUGAAAGGAGAGCUCUGCUUCCUCAUACAUACUCAUCUUUUCUAUGGAUAAGUAUGAGGAAAUGGAGAUCUCCUUCCAUUCCACCUGUUUU